GUGGGGAAUUUUGGACAAUGGGCGCAAGCCUGAUCCAGCAAUGCCGCGUGCAGGAAGAAGGCCUUCGGGUUGUAAACUGCUUUUGUACGGAACGAAACGGUCCGGGUUAAUACCUCGGAGGGAUGACGGUACCUGAAGAAUAAGCACCGGCUAACUACGUGCCAGCAGCCGCGGUAAUACGUAGGGUGCGAGCGUUAAUCGGAAUUACUGGGCGUAAAGCGUGCGCAGGCGGUUUUGUAAGAUCGAUGUGAAAUCCCCGGGUUCAACCUGGGAACUGCAUUGGUGACUGCAAGGCUGGAGUGCGGCAGAGGGGGAUGGAAUUCCGCGUGUAGCAGUGAAAUGCGUAGAUAUGCGGAGGAACACCGAUGGCGAAGGCAAUCCCCUGGGCCUGCACUGACGCUCAUGCACGAAAGCGUGGGGAGCAAACAGGAUUAGAUACCCUUGUAGUCC
rnacentral:rRNA from 1 species